rnacentral:rRNA from 1 species
AGUCACUGACAUUAGAUACCCCCGUAGUCCAGGGUGUAAACGCUGCAGACUUGGUGUUGGAAGUCCUUUGGGGGCAUUCAGUGCCGGAGAGAAGUUGUUAAGUCUGCUACUUGGGGAGUACGUCCGCAAGGAUGAAACUUAAAGGAAUUGGCGGGGGAGCACCGCAACGGGAGGAGCGUGCGGUUUAAUUGGAUUCAACACCGUAAACUCACCAGGGAAGACUGUUACAUGAAAGCCGAGAUGAAGACUCUGCUAGAUUUUCAG